rnacentral:lncRNA from 1 species
GCAGCGCAGACAGGAAUGUCACCGUGGUCUCCCAGGCUGAAUGACAAAAGUUCGUGGACUGCCCCCUCCCCGCCUAUCCUCCACCCACGCGUACCGCCCCGUUCCCCCACCGUUUCCGACCCGGCAGCUUCUGGAAAACAGCGCCCUUGAUCCUCCCGGGCAGGAAGAAGGGCCAAGGAAGGGGUUAGAAGGGAAAGAGUUAGGAUUUCCCAAGAACCAGCCCUGAAGGCCUGGAGGUGGGGGAUUUCGCUUCUUAGUUGGACGGGAGCCCCUUGGGUUCCUCACUUCUUAGCCCGCGCCCUGCGGGAGGAGCGACUCUGCUUGUCCCUCAAGAUGCUUGUGAAGGUGCCCGCUGCGCUCUGACACCGGCGAUCUCUUAGAAUGAAGACCAUCCCUGGGCAAAAUUGCGAAGAAGUGGAAGGAAAGAAGAGAAAGAAGAAGAAAGGAAUAUAGGCCCUCAUAGAGGUGGACCCCUUGAUCUUGAACUCCCCAAUCUCCAGAACU